rnacentral:lncRNA from 1 species
GACUUACAGACCUAGUAGGCUGCUGGUGGAUUGUGUGGAAGAUUAGAAACGACACGAUCUUUCAGAAUAUCGCCCCUAACCCUGAGCUAGCGGUUCGCAGAUUCAAGCUUCUAAUGGAGGAGUGGGACCCUCCCCUCGUUUCGUAACUUCUUCUUCUUCUUCUUCUUCUUCCUCUUCUUCUUCUUCUUCUUCUUUUUUUGUUUUUUUUUUUUGUUUUUGUUGUUUUUUUUAUAUUAUAAUCUUUUGUUCUCAAAAAUAUUGUAAUAAUACAAGUACUUUUAAAUUUCCGUAGAGCUCUCUUUCUCUCUUUUGCACUCAGUUGUAAGAUAAGUAUGUUGGGACUAGCAAACAAAAAGGUAUCCUUUUUCAUCUUCUUAAGNACACACAUAAAUACAUAUAAAACAUGUAUUUUUGGAUUUUCUCGAAAUCCGUGCGUCAAACUCAAAAUCCGUCAGCGUCAUUGGUUCCUGAACAGCUGACUCGGUCGAAACGAGCUAUUGGACUGCUAUGAACAGAGUCCGGUACGAGCCAGAAGCCAACUUCUCACCGCGGCUUCUCCGGAAAAUCGAGUUACUAUUCACUUUAAGUGAAACUUGGAAAUCGCGUAGAAUUUCCGUUUUAACUCGUUUUCGCCCGAAACUUGACGAGUGCUUUUGUAAUUAAAUUACACACAAAAAUAUCGUCAACUGAGAGUUUAGCUACACUGCAAAAAUCUCAGUCCUUACAGGUUAGAAGGAAAGCAAAAGUUGUUUUCUAGCGAUUGUUGUUUGGUUUGUAUGAAAAGGAAAAGGAAAUUUGUUUUUCUUUUUGUAUUUUAUUGUUUGGUUGAUAGGAAAAAGUGGGAUAAAAAUACCUCCAAUAUGUUGGAGGUAAGAUUAUCCUGUAUUAAAAAUUAAUAUAUGGGUAAAUAAUAACAAUUGUAAUAUGAGUCAAUUAAUCGUAUCAAAAUAAUUUUACAUACUUAUUGCUUAUAAGAUCUCAACAUUGUCACAACAAUUUAUAUGUUUUUUUUUUUUUUUGAAGUUUAACUGCCCAAAUUGUCUAUAAAGUAUUUAAAAAAGCAUAAAGACAUGCAUAAUAGUGGACAAGAUAUAUGUAAUCUGUUUAAUUCUUAUAUCAAAAAUCAUUUGGAAAGUAUGAAUGUAAAGUAAUGGAAUACAAUAUUACAAAAAAAAAAGAAUAGAAAUUACAAGUUCACAAACAAAAUUAAUUAACAUAUAAUAUAUUAACAAAACAGAGUGAGUCGUUAAUAUAAAACAUCAACUAUUUAACAUCAGAUUUUUAGACAAAUCUAUAGAUAAAUUGAAUCGAGAGUUCUAAUGUGGCCGACGUGGCCGCUUCUCCGCGCUCGCGAGGGAGAGAGGAAGAGAGAAAGGGAGAGAAAGAGAGAGGGGAGGGGGGGCUGCGUGCAGGCGACCCGCGCCCGCAGCACGCGUAAGAAAGGAAGAGAGAGAAGGAGAGAGAGAGAAAGAGAGAGCAGACAGAGAGAGCGGAGAGAGAGAGAGUAGAUAGACAGAGGGGAAGAGAGAGAGAGAGAGAGAAACAGAGACGAGAAGAGAGAGAGAGAGAAGUAGAUAGAGAGUGGCAGGAGUCUCUCUCUCCUGCUCGCGGCUCCCGCAGGGGGUGCGGGCCUCCGCACAUGGCCCCCCGGUUCUCUUCCCCUCUCUCUUCUCUCUCAUCCCCGUCUCCUUCUCUCUCUCUCUUCUCCCCAUCUUUCUCCGCGGCUCUCUCUCUCCCCCUAUCUCUCCCUUCACGGGGCGCGACCGCACCCGGGGUGUGGGCCGCGCUGGGGGGUUCCCGACCGCGCCCCCGCGCACAGGCUUUUCCCCCCCCUCCUCUUCUUUACCUUUCCUCCCCCUACGGCUCUUGUCCUCUCUCCCUCUCCCCCCCUAUCCCCUCCCCUCUCUCCUCUUUUUUCGCCCCCGCUCUUUCUGCUCUCUCUUCCCUCUCCAGCAGGCGGAGCGGCGAGGCGGCCGGUGAGUCGGAGGCGCGAGCGGGCGGCAGUGGGAGGCGGACGCGCGGUGGGCAGUAGCAGUGGCGGUCGGUGCGGGCGCGAGCGCGGCCAGCGGAGCGGACGCGAGGGUAGCACGAAGGGGGGAGAGGGGAGAGGGAGAGAGGGGAAAAGAGAAAGGUGCGGGGGAGAGAGAAUGAGAGAGAGAGAGGGGGGGAGAGAGAAAGAGAGAAAGAGGGAGUCAGGGAGGAAGAGAAAGGGAGAGGGAGAGGGAGAGAGAAUUUUACCAUUUUUAUAUUUAAAUUUUAUACAUAAAUUUUAAAUUUUAAAUUUUAAUUUUAACUUAUAUUAUAUAUAUAAUUUUAUUUAUAAAUAUAUAUUUAUUUAUUAUAUAUAAUUGUAUAUUUAUUUUUUGUAAGUUUAAAAUUUUAAAUUAAAUUUAAAAAUUAAAAAAAUAAAAAACAAAUUGUUUAAAAUAUUUUAAAAAUUGCGUAAAUUUCCCACCGCGGAGCGCGGGCCUUCACUAGUUCUAAUAAAAUCAGAACCCAAAAAGUAAGUAGGUACAAAAAAUAGCAAACUACAUAGUGCUACCAUCUAUAUUAUGUGCCAACUUACAUCCAAAACCAUCAAGUUCCAAAAAAUAAAAUACUGUACUAAUAGUUUUUCAUACUUAGCAACCAGACCAAAAUUACUUUAGAAAUUGGUCUUCAAACUGUGUUAACCAUUCAACUCGCAUUUCUGGUCUACGAACUAAAAAAAGUUUUCCAGCUAUUCAUUUCUCAAGAAAUACUCAUAUGCAGCAAUACCUACGUGCUCGGGGAUAUUACAUGACUUUAUAGAGCUCCAUAUCUCCUUUUCGUGCAUAAUUUUGGCAUCUUUCAUUGAAUCUGCUAAUUCUCUGAUCUUUUUCACUAAUAAUAUAAAUUCUGAAUCUGAAUGUUUUUAUUUCUUGGCUUUUGAGGUUGUACCAAUGCCGGAUUUGGUCACUGGUCGAUUAAGAUUUUGUCGUUUACGUCCUUGAGAAGGGGUUGUUGGUGAAAUGUGCUCGCUCUCUUCUGAAUAUAAAUCUUCCAAGCCAAAGUCAUCACCAUCAUCAUUGUUAUCUUCUUCAUCAAGAUUGAUAUUAUUUGGAUCAUCCGAUGCAAAUUCUCCAAUUGCUUGAUCAUCUCCGCAUAUGAUUGCUAGCUCGUCAUAGUGUUAAAUAGGACAAUUUAAGUAGUAUAUAUCCUUGGGAUGAGCCUACAAGAAUAUAAAACGAAUAACUUCUUAAUAUAAAAUAUAAAUGACAUAUGAAAUUUGAGAUGAAACUGAAAAAAAAGAAAAAAACUUUACUCGAAUAAAGUCUUGGUAAGAUCCUUCGCCCAAACUAAUAGUCUUGCUAACUGGAUCCCAUGAAGCACCACUCAAACUUUUUAAUUGAAUGAUUCUAGACCACUUCGUCUUGAAAGUGCGUAGCCGAUUUUCAACUUUAGUCCAAUUACAAGAAACUUGGAAUUUGGAUGACAUUGCUCUUGCUGCAGCUACAAAGGCUAGCCUUUUGAAUGAUUUGUCCACUUUCAUACCAAUACUAGCUUGAUGCACCAAAAAUUUUACGAGAAAGUCGGACAUCUCAUUUGUCCACUUUGGCUGCGUUUGGUUUGGGUAUAAGUAAUAACUACUUGUUCGAGAGAUAGAUACAAGUCCAGAUAUAAAAAGGAACUAGACCAAUUUUGUGUUUGGAUGAAAAUUGGGUUGUUCCUAAAAAUAAAGUAAAUAUCGUUUGGAUGGUUAAAUUGGAACAAGUGGAAUAAAAUUUAUAAUUUGAAAUUAAAAUUAUAUUAUCUAAUUAAUUAACAUCAAAAUAUUACUUAAAANUUAUAUAUAUAUAAAUAUAUAUAUAUAUAUAUAUAUAUAUAUAUAUAUAUAUUCGAGCUUUUCGAGCCUAAUUCGAACGAGCCGAGUAAUACUCAAGCUCGGCUUGAAAUGAAUUUCGAGCCUUUAAUUUUGUUCAAGCUCGGCUCAUUUAAUUUCGAGUCGAGCUCGAGCGAGCCGAAUAUCGAGCCGAAUACGAGUCGAACGUGAGCCGGCUCGCUCGUUUGCCAGCCCUAGAUGCAAGCGUGCGAAGAGUGCCCUCUAUUGGUUGGACACUCAUAAACUCUUCACGUGCUGUGUUCGGCCGUUUGGGUUUCGACACGUGCGUCUUUCUGUGAAAUAAUAUUUACACAAGUGGCGAAUUUCAUAUAGUUACUGUACACAAAUUUAGCCGAUUUUCAUCAAUCAUGGUAGCUAAAUUUAGUAAGUAUAAUUUAUCAUUAGAAAUAUCAGAACUAUACUGAUCUUCUUUAGCACAAAUGACAAAAGACUUGAUAAUUGAUACCCAAAAUUUUAAUAAAAACUAAAUAAAACGAAUAGCAUGCUACCUUUCUCCCUCUCACAAAAAAAAAUGUAAUAUACAUACUACUAUAAUAUGUUGACAUGAUAAACACCAAGAAUAAUAUUUUAGCUCAUCUAUAUAUAAUUUUGAUUUUCUAUAGACUGUUAAUAUACUGACAAUAUUAAUUAUAUGACGACUUUUUGAACUACGCGUGUAUUAAAAUAAUAAGAACUUGCAAUAUUUCCUGUAUAUUAAUACAUCAAUAAUAAAAACAACCUGGGUAAUCCAUAAAAGUACUGUAUCAUCAUUCUUUAACCCUAGGCAUAGAAAUUAGGAUUGAAAACAUGAAUGCAUAUAUAUACUUUUUGAGAAAUGAUUCGGUACUUUUUAAAAAAAAAAAUAAAAAAGAUCUUAACCAUUGAUUAAUAGAGGGUAAAAAUGUAAUUUUAAUACUUAGCAGGUAAAAGGAUUAUUUUAUUCAAGGUUAGUUUGAUAAUUAAAUAAUAUAACAUUUAAAGAAACUUUUAAUUGAGGUCCUAAAUUUACUAUAGUACACUAGAUUUUAGUGAGAUGCGAAGUUUGAAUGUGAGAAUAGUGUCUGGAACUAUUCUACAACUGAUGAAGGAUUGUUAAGAGAUUUCGGCAAGUGCUAGAGCAAGUGGAUGGCCGGAAGUGGAAAAGUGCAUUACAAAACUGCACUAUUCAAUUGUACUAUUUCGAACUCGACUAAUUAUGAAGUUUGAUGAGUGGGAUUGGUAAUGAAGGUAACCCACAUUUUUUUAAAGAGUUGUAGUGGGGUUCUGGACAAGUUUGAAGGGUGCUCGAACUGACGGAAGCAAGAAAGUGCAUCGCAGAGACACUAUUCAAGUGUAGUAUUCUGAAUUUUGACAAGUGAUGAAAUUUAAGUGUUGGAAUAGCAAUUGGAGCUAUCCUACAACUUUUAGAGAGUGGAAGUAAGGUUUUGGAUGAAUUGAAAAAAUGCUCGAGCCAUCGGAAGGAGGAAAGUGCAUUGUAAAAUGCACAUUCAGCAUUUUGCAUAGUGUACCGGUGUACAAGCAUGAUGUUGUACCGGUACACAGCACAGCAGUAGCUGCGUGGCUAAGGCUAUUUUGGUCUUUUCCCUUUCCAAGGUUGUUCUUAUCAACUCUGGUCGACCCCUGAGCUUAUCCAGAGUCCCCAGGAACUGAGGAGAAGAUAAGGAUUUCCCUCUCUUUCUCUUUCUAAAGUUUUGGGGAUUUUGUAAGUAAAAGUGAAGAUUUAAGCUUGUUUUCCUCUUCUCUCUUGUUUGUUAUCGGUUUGGUGAGUUGGAGCAGCGGUGGAUGAGUAGAACUGAGUUUUGGGGAGAGGAAUUUCGUGACCUAACUCAGUAGGAAGCUGAGUUGGAGCUUUAUGAGGUAAACUACUCAAUCUCUCUCUAGUUUUAAGCUAUACUAGCAAAGCUGAAUUUGAUCUUGGUUUGGUUGUUCCCAGCUGAAUUGGGAAGGUUUAAAGGAGCCAUAGAGAAGUUGGUGUGCUGUGAUUUUACAACCUGGAACCAGGGAUAAUCUGAGAUGAGGUUUGCAAGGUGAUUAACUCGCUAUUUUACCACUCUAAUGCUGAAAUAGUGAUAUUCGUUGUAAGUUAAGGCUGAUUUUGCUUUGAUUCUUCAAGUCGAGGCAAAAGGACAGCUGAACUAAAGCUAUGAGGGAGUAUGCUAUUUAUUAGCUCCUCGAUUAGAUGUAUUAAUUGUAUCUUUAAACACAGUUUUGCGGUGUGAUCACAACUGAUAUGCAGCGGACAUGAUAUUCACUUCGAGCUAAAUUUUGUGAUCAUUGUAAGCUGGAUUUGAAGUGCUUCAACCUACGUGAAGUGAAGGUUUAACUUUGGUUUAAAUCUAAGUAAGAUUUUAGCUUAAAUCAUGUACAUAUCUGAGAAUUACAUAUAUGAGAUUAAAGUGGAACUCAUAGUUGAAUUUGGAUUAUUGUUAGAGUGUUUUGAAGGCUUCUGGUCGCUAUGAACUAAAUGUUAAUGAUUCUUGAAGAUUGAGGAUGAAAAGCUUCAACUUGGUUACAAAAAGGAAGGUCAAGAGCAGAUUCUAAACUAGGUAUAAAUCUACCUAGAUUAGAUGCAUGGAACUGGAAGUUCAAAUUCUAAUUGGAUUAGUAUACUUACUAGGGUAUUUGGAAGCUAAUGAAUAUCUUUGCUUGCAGGAGCAACAAGAGUCGACGGUGAUUAGGUGGGUCGGAUCUUUCCGAAAUGGGUGAAUUCCCUCUAUGUCCCCUUUUACAUUAUGAGUGAAUGUAUUGUAUGUUUAUGUGAACAAGAGUAUACUUGAAAGGAAUUGAGACACGCAUCUAUGUGCAUACCCUAUCAGAUAUGAUAGGAUUUCCAUAUAGUAGAGGAAGAAUUAUGGAAUUGCCUAUUUCCAUAGAUCAUCUAGCUUUAUUGGACGAUAAGGGAACUACGUACUUGGAAAUAAUCACACAAACCUGUGUUCUAAACAUUGUGCUUGAACUCUUAGUUUAUUAUAUAUACUGAAGUUGUUUAUACAUUCAUGUAGAACCAUGCAAGUGUAUAUUGAACAAUACCUCACGUAUUUGCGUUGAUCAAUAGGCUAUUGUUUCAACUAAUAAUACCAACAUGAACUUGGUGUUAUGGAUAUGAUCUUAUUAUGCAAUCCGAACUUGACCUCUUGAAUGUAUACUUGUACAAUCGAACAAUAGUAUUGCAUAUGACUUAUUUACUCCUAGUAGUGGAGGCUUAUGUGGAACUUUAGGAUAGAUAUCAAGAGUCGUAAGGACCCUGAAUGAGUCAUUAAGUAUAACUUUGGUAAACCAUUUUCCUUAUGUAUAAGGAGUAAUAAGAGGACUCUAUGAGAGUAUGUUUGAGUAUAGCCAUUAUGAUACAAGUAUAUACUGAUCUAAAUUGUAAUAACAAUUGGUAGAGUUAUGUCAACAAGUAGUUGAUAGCAGCUUACGAUUGGGUACUACAGUGUCGACCUUGUGUCGAGUUGAGAUUCCAUGUUAGAGACAUGAUGAAAUCGUGAUACUUGUACUAUGGAUUACAGCUUGCAUGCCAUUGUGCUCUUUCGCACAUGCUUGUGGGGGUCGCGCCCCCCAAGCCAGCGCCCCGGAGUGGCUUAGCGACAGAUCGCUCGCUUAUGUAUGAAGUGAGCGCCAAAAUGGAUUGCCGUGGGCAGUGUUAACUUCCACGGGGCCAUUAGGCGCGGCACAUGCCAGACAGCCUUCGAGUGGGUCUUUUACCAGACAGCCUUUGGGUGGGUCUUUAUGCUAGACAGCCUUCGGGUGGGUCUUUAUGCCAGACAGCCUUCGGGUGGGUCUUACAAGAUUUAAACAUCGAGUAGGUAAAUGACAAGUGAACUUAUUGACGAACAAGCUAGACAGUUGACCUCUUGACGUUAGUGACAUGGCGACGGUGUGUUACACUUUUACGGGUGUAGGAAGAUAUCAUCAGUUAUUUCGUGAUGAUGAACAACCUGGCAUAUGAUGAGUCAAAUACCUAAUGACAGCAUGUUUUAUUGUUGCUAAUGUAAACCUGAAUUAUUUCGCAUAUCUUUUGGCAUAUGACUAGUUAAAUUGUUAACUAAUAUGAAUGGUAGAAUCUACCAUGACAAGCUAGUACCUACACCGGCGAUAUGCAUAUAUUUAUUUUUAAGCAAAUAACAUGAUCGGUUUACUUUCAUUCCUGUUGCUUUUAUUUGCUUAUGUACUGCUAUUUACUCAUGCUUGUAAGGACUGAGAUUUUUGACAGUGCAACUAAACUUUCUGUUGAUGAUGUUUAUGUGUGUAAUUUAAUUACAUAAGCACUCGUCAAGUUUCGGGCGAAAAUGAGCUAAAAUGGAGAAGAUACGCGAUUUUUAGUUUUCACUUAAGUGAAUAGUAACUCCGGUUUUCCGGAGAAGCCACGGAGUAGAGUUGGCUUCUGGUGCGUAUCGGACUCCGUUCAUAUCAGUCCAAUAGCUCGUUUCGACCGGUUCAGCUGUUCUGGAACUAAUGGCGCUGAUGGAUUUUGAGUUUGACGCACGGAUUUCGAUAAAAUCCAAAAAUACAUGUUUUAUAUGUAUUUGUGUGUAUGUUUCCUUCUAUUGGAAGAAGGUUGGAUUUUGUUGUGAAUCCGUGGUCGAUCGAGAUGAAUCGAAAGUGUAGCUUUGUUGUCUCCGAGGUGCUGAUCGCACUGGUGCAAUCCGUUCGCAAAUCUGACGGACGGAUCUGCGGAGAUCGCGCGUUGAUCGAGGAGAGGUCGGUGAUGGCAAAACGGUAAUUUCGCAAAAGUCGCGACAUUUUAUGUACCGUUUCUCGUGAGAUCGCACGUGGAGGGGCGUUCUUGCGUUUUAGUCGUACCGUGAGGGACUCGGAUUCAAUUUCAGAUGUUUGAGGGGUUUUCUUGCAAGUUGCACCUAGUAUAUAGUUAUUCUCUAGGGUUUGGAGUCACCUAACCUAACCCUAGCUUUGCCCUAGCCCCCUAGCCGCCCCCCCCACGUUCCCCUGCUCUCCCCGCGCGCGCCCCGUCCACCUGAGCACGCCGCCGGCCGCCGGAGCUGGCUGCUCCAUCCUUCCUCUCUAUCUCCUCCCUCUCUUCCUCUCUCCCUCUCUCCUCUUGGGUUGGGAGGAGGCCUGAGACUACCGCUACCUUUGGACCCUCCCUCGGUGUCGCCCCGUGCUCCGGCGAUCAUCUCCGCCGACCGCCGCCGUUGCCUGCACCGCCGCUGCCGCCCCGGGCCACAUCUGCCAGCCCAGGCCGAGCCCUGGCCGAGCCGGGUUGCCACUGCCGCCAGCGCGCCGCCACCACCUGGAAUCCCUCCCGCCGACCUCCUCCGUGCCCGGGCACCCCUUCCCGCCGGUCGCCGCCGCCCCGGUGCGCCGCCGUCGCCGCCUCGGCCAGCCGCGGCCGCCUAGCCCGAGCCCAGGCCGAGGCUUUGUUGCGGUCUUUUCCCGCGCCGCCGCCACUCGAGGCCGCCUCCUUCCUCCUCCUCUGGCCUCUGGGGACCUGCCGUCGUCAUCCCCGACCUACCCCGGCCGCCGUCGUGGCCGCAGCUCCCUUGGAAUCCGUGUCCUAGCUCGUGCGGGCCGAGCUUGCUCCGCCGACGCCGCCGCCGCUUCUUGUCGCCAACCGAGGUGAGCACGGAGUUCCUCACCUCUCCCGCACCCGACUCAGGGACCCGCGCGCGCCGCCGUACCGCCGGAGGCCGGCCGGAGCAAGGUUGCUCUGGCCAAGCCCGAAAUAAGGCUUAUUUGAGUGGGUUUCUUGUUCUAGGCUUCCCGAGCUUCCCCGAUCUCUAUGGAAGGGAGCACGAUGAUCCUGGCAAGUUUCUGAUCAUCGUGCUCACCUUGGCUUCUGUCGGGAAGGUCCCGUUCCGCUGUUUUGACGACGUCGCUCCGUUUCAGCCUUUUUGGCUGCUGUUUCGGGUUUGUGCUUGUUUUUCCGGCGAUCCGAGGGCUUUUAGAAGCCUCCGGAAGGUGAGCAUGGUGACCGCUGGUCAGUGCUGAUCACAAUUCUCACCUUCCCUUGGAUCAGAAGUGUCCGGUUAGUCCUGUUCAGCGCGAUCUUCCUUGACGCUGCGCUGUUCGCUGAACCUUCGGGUUGCUCCCGCGCUUCCCACAGCGAGCCGCUGUGCUCCGGAUCGUGAGCACGGACUCCGUACGUCCGGGACCUAUCAGUACGUGUCUCUGCGGACUUUGGAAGUCCUGGUUUGCGUGAGUGAGUUUCUUGAUCGCUCAAAUUACAUAAAAUGAUAGAAUUUUAUGUAAAUUGAGGGGCUUUUUAUGCAAUUGUGCAUCGUGUGGCUACUGUGGGCAGUGCCCGUGAGUGUUUUGACCUCUGGACUGAUUGUCCAUGAUCCGUUAGCUCCGCGGAAAUCGAAAGGUUGAUUUCGGUGCGUUUUUCGGCGAAAUUCGCCGAAAGAACGCGAUUUCGGUUCGGAUUCUUUUCCGACGGUGUUUGGUUGCUCCGUGUUUUGUCGCUGAGCUCUUGUUGGCUGGUCACCGCAAUCAUUUGAGGGUUCGAAAAUGGCGGGUGAGCGACGGUAGGUUCCGGUGUCGAAUUAGACACUUCGGGAACCCGAAUCGAAACGAUUAUCCGACAUAAUUGUUCGACACGAGGAGUUGUGUUUGCUGAUCAAUGAAUGCAACGAUUAUUUUAUGUUUAGUGGCAGCAAGGUGACUCGUAGCUCGAGUCGGUAUGUUCCGGGACAGUUCGUGGGUCCGCGGCGGAGUCCCCCGGUGCGAUUACGGGACUGUCCGGCGUAUUACGGCGAUCGGUUGGGAAACCGGUCCCCAUGGGUUUGCUUGUAGGUUGUGGAUUUAGUGGUUAUUAGCUGUGAGUUAGACAUAACCCGGUGGACCUUCCUUAGGUCGCGGUUGACGUUCUUUGCAGUCAGGAGACAGGCGCAGCAUUUGUACAGGUGGGUAACUUCGAUCCGAAGUGGUACAGGUGGUGCACGCUCGGUGAUAUGUCUUCUAUCCCUGUACUCUGGUUGCUACUAACGUAUUGUCUUUGAGCUUGCAUCCAGUUGAUUUUAUUACACUCUACUUGAAUUGUGUUUCCAUGGCUUAUAUUAAUGUGUAGGGAGUAGAGUAGUUUAUCCAUAUGUGAUUCCAGUGACCUGAGUGGUCGGUCUGUACUUCGUUUCGGUGACCUGAUUGGUCAGUUUCUCGCUUUCCGUUCAGAUGACCCUUGAGGUCGAUAUACCCUAAAGGGUGGGAUUGUCGGCAACGUCCGACGAUUGAUUAUAGUCUACUCAUUCCAGCUGUUUGUAUGUUUGUGACUGUCUGCCACAGCCACGAAUGACGCAGCCUCGCACGGUUGAAUUGAUUUGAUUUUACCGGGGGUAGUAUUCAUGAUGUAGAUUAAAGUAUGUGUAUAUAUGGUUUAUCAGGUAAUUGUGGAUUCAUGGCUUCCAAUAAACGCAAGCGUCUAUUGUUAAUUACCCCUAUAAAGUGUUAGGGCACCUUCGAUUAAGAGACUCUGAAAGUGCUGAAGAUAAACUAAAAAUUGGACAAAAAGGAAUUAUUUACAAUUUAUUGCUCAAUACAUGGCUUUAACCAAGGGCAUACCCUCAGUGUAUUGAAUAGAGCGUAAAGAAAAUGUAUUUUUCAAUUGUAUCGUUAGUAUAUAUUCUAAGAUACCCAAUAUAUGGUAAAAUUAAUUUGUUAGACUCUAUAUGUUGUGGACUCAACACUAUUCACCCUAAUAUGCAAAGAUUGAUUAAAUUCCAUAUAUAUAUGUAUUGGAUAUUUAAUCAGAUUUAAUUCAGAUUAACUCUAAUUAUAUGUAUUAGAGUUUGAUUUGGUUAAUUGAACUCUUAAAUGUAUGUGAAAAGUCAAUAGAUGAUCAGAUUUUGGUUGAGCUCUAUAUAUUUUGGAGCUCAACUUUGUUUAUCAUGAGAUGAAAGAUGUGAUUAAAUCCGCAUAUAUAUACAUUGGAAUUAAUCAAACUUGAAUUAAAGCUCUGAACUUUAAAUAUAUUAAUAAAGUCCAAUAGAGUUUGAUUUGAGCUUUCAUCCUAAAUAUAUGUGUUAGGAUUAGCCCCAAAUAUCUUAAAUUAGACUCUAAUUUUAUAUUUUAGAGUCUGAUACAAUUAGGCUCUAAGUUUAUGUAUUAGAGCUUAGUCACAUUUGAUUUUGGUUCAUCUCAAGGUGAAAUAUUAACUAAAUCCUAAUUAUAUGUAUUAGGAUUAGUCAGAUUUGAUUUAAAUUAAACUCCAAGUGUAUGUAUUGGAAUCCAACAAAUUAAUUUGAUCAGAUGGUUUGAUCAAUUCUAAAUAUAGGUUUAGAAUUUGAUCAAGUUUGAACAUGAUUGUGAUUUGACUCUAGUUUUAUAUGCUAGAGAAUCGAAUAUUUUGGGAAUUGGGAUGUUCGUGAAAAUUGAACUUGAGUUUAGUUUAACGACAUUUCGGUCGAUUGAUUUAGGUUUAGUUUAACGACGUUUCGAUCGGUUGAUUUGGUGGAGUAGUUUAACGACGUUUCGGUCAAAGGUUUGGGUUUGGUUCACAAGGUUUAUGGUAUUGGGUAUAUGGGAUUAUGGUUCAUGAACUUAGAUAUGGGUUUAUGGUUCAUGAACUUAUGGUUUAUGGGUUUAUGGUUCAUGGGUUUAUGGUUCAUGGACUUAUGGUUCAUGGACUUAUGGUUCAUGGGUUUGGUUCAUGGACUUAUAGUUCAUGGACUUAUGGUUCAUGGACUUAUGGUUCAUGGGUUUGGUGUAUGGUUUGUGGUUUAUGAUCCCUGGCUCAUGAACUUGAUUUGAUUCAUGAACUUGAUUCAUAGUUCGUGAAUUUGGUGUAUGGUAUGGUCCACAGGAUUUGGUGUAUGGUUUGGUCCAUGGUUUUGGUUUAAAGUUCAUGGACUUGGUUAAGGUUAUGGUCUUGGAAAUGGAUUAAAUGUGUAUGGGUUCAUGGGUAAAUGUAUAUAGGUUUAUGUAUAUGGGUUUAUGGGUUUUGGAUAAUGGGCUUAGAUAGUGGGCCCAAAUGGGUUUUGGACUGGGGCCAUUUGUAAAUGGGCUCUGGGCUUUGGACUAGGCCUAGAUUUAAUUGGAUUGGGUUAUAGGUUAUGGGUUUAGAAUUGGGCUAAGGUUUAAUUGGAUUAGGUUAUAGGAUUGGGUUAUAGGUAACGGUUAAUGGAUUUUGAGUGAGGUUAAGGUUAAUGGGUUUAGAUUAGAUUGGGUUAAAUGGGUUUAGAGUCAAAGUGUUGAUUUAAUACGGAUGGGUUGAGGUUCAAUGACUUAGGUCCAUAUGAUCGGGCCUAGAUUCAUGUCUCGAGGUUUUAUUAAAAAAAAAUGUUUUGAUCAAUUAAGAUUUUCAUAUACAUUUUCUUCAAAUUCUGGAUUUGAAUAACAAAUUAAAUUUCAAUUUAAUUUGAAGUGUCUAAUGUGAUUUUGUCAAAGCUCUCUCUCUCUUUUAGAGUGAUCUCUCUUUUUGGUGAUAUUUUGCAAAGAGCACCAUCGAUGUUCAUCUCGGCAUUCCAUCGAGCGGUUUGAUUAGCACGUCGACGACGAAGUAUUUCGUCGAAUGAUUGGUCGGUAAAUGAGAGCAUCGCUCUCUUUAUGAUUCGCCACCGAGCAAUUAGCGGGCGAACUUUGUUUGAAAGGAGAGCACCGCUCUCUCUCUCGGAUUCGUCGUCGGAGCGGUUGGCGGACUUGACUUCAUUUAAGAGGAGAGCACCGCUCUCUCUCUAAGGUUCGCCGUCGAGCGGUUGGUGGGCGGACUCCGGGCACAUCAAGCACUUGGCAGGCGGAAUCCGUUUGAGAGGAGAGCACCGCUCUCUCUCUCAGGUUCGCCGUCGAGCGGUUGGUGGGCGGACUUCGUUUGAGAGGAGAGCACCGCUCUCUCUCUCAGGAUCGCCGUCGAGAGAUGUGUCUUGGGCAUUUCGUCAAACAAUUGGUAGGCACCAAUCGUCGGCGCAUUCUGCAGCGCGUCCGCUGCCGAUCCAUAGCUGUCGCGGCACGACUGCAGGCCGUUCUGCAGCACCUUCUUGACGGCUGGGGCCGCCACCGCCUGCACGUGCUCCGCCUUGAGCGCCGCAGCCUGGACCGACGCCGCGGCUCGCACAGUGUAGCCGCCGCACCUCGCCCGCAGCUUGCAGCUGCAACAUACUAUCGUCUUCGUCGUGGGGGAUCAAGGGUCCGCUGGUGGCGAGCGAGAUACAACGGUUGCUGCCGGAGGGGGAGUAGACUAAUAUAAACCUUUUUUUAAAGAAUCGAUGUUCGUUGUGGACACAGAGCGAACACCUGGUGAGCGGUAACAAGUCCGGCCAUGUCGGAGAAGAUGCCGGUGUCGAGGGCGUCCCGUAGAAGGCCGGUAGCAACGACGCGAAGGGCCUGGCGGACACCGUGAACAGCGGCAUGUGCUGGACAUCUGAGUCGAGGAAGCCGAACUGCGUCCAAAGAGCGCCCAUGAGGGCCGCCGAGAGCAGGUCGACGGCGGGGCUGGAGGAAGCGACGACGCCGUAGACGGCGUCGGCGAGCAUAAGGAGCGUGGCGGCCAGCUCGAGGAGCGCGCCGUGGCCCUUCUUCUCGAAGAGGCCGGCCCGUACGAACUCGGCGACGAGGCGGCGGUAGUCGGGGGAGGCGUCGUAGACGACGUAGUCGGCGAGGCGGGCGACGCAGAGGGGGUCGAGCAGCCCCCAGGCGGACGGCGGGUGAUGGAACGGCCUCGUCGGCCACCUCCUCGACGUCGCGGCAGUGGCUGCGCGCCGGGUUGACGAUCUGGACGAGCACGGCGCGGCCACGGAGCUCAGGGCGCUUCUCGAGGAGCCGCUCCGUGGCGAGGAACUUGAGGCUGACGCCCUUGAAGAGGUCGACGUCGUCGACCCUGAGGAGGACGACGCGGUCCUUGAAGGCAAGGGAGAGGUCGCGGAGCGUGGCGAGGGCCUCGGGCGCGACGACCACGGAGCGGAGCUGGGCCAUGUCGACGCCGACGGGGAGGAUCUUUACGGUGACGGUGCGGCCGCAGUGGGUGUUGCGCCUGUGCGCGGCGGUACUGCCAACGCGGCGCACGAAGACGAGGUGUGCGUCGGAGGCGAUCUGAACUCGCGACUGCGACGAUGGCGGUGUCGGGGGAAGACGAGGCCGCGGUGGGCGUUGCGCCCGCACGCGGCGGUGCUGCCGACGCGGCGCGCGAAGACGGGGUGCACGUCGAGGAGGCGGAGGCCGAACUCGCGGCUGCCGACGGCGGCGGUGUCGAGGGAAGACGAGGCCGCGGUGGGCGUUGCGCCCGCACGCGGCGGUGCUGCCGAAGCGGCGUGCGAAGACGAGGUGCGCGUCGAGGAGGCGGAGGCCGAACUCGCGGCUGCCGACGACGGCGGUGUCGAGGGGAGGACGCCGCGGGCGAGGAGUCGUGCGGCCGGCCUCGGCGGCACAGGGGACCUCCCAAUGCUUGCGGGUGGCUGAUCAUGCGGCGGAGGGCGGCGCCGUUGAGGAUGAUCUGGUGCACGGCGGGGGCGAUCUCGCGAGAGACGCGGCGGAGGUCAGCGGCCGCGAUGGGCGAGCGGUGGUCGCCAUGAUUGAUGAGGGUGAAGAUACAGAGGUUUUUUUUCUUUUUUUUUUUUUUAGGAGAGAGAGAGCUUUGUCAUUGAUGCUGCAUCAAUGGAAAAAAAGUUAUUAUUACUACCUUUUUCUUUUCUUUCGUAGAUAGGAAUAGUGAAAUUUUUUUUUUUGGGUCCGAAACUCUGUGUCCCAGUUGGGUUCAAAUAUACUUAGGUUAUAACGGCUUAGAACGUGCAAAUAAUGGAGGUAGUGGGAUGUGGGUAGGAGAGGUGGGAAGUUACGAUGGGAUCAUGGGAUCGUGGGUAGGAGAGGUGGGAAGUUACGAUGGAAUCAUGGGAUCGUGGGUAUAAUAUUACAAAUUAAUCCUUUCAUUUUGCUUAUAUUAUACUUUAGUUAAAAUAACAAAAUAUUAUAUGUUUGAAGUGGAGCAUCCUGCAAAUAUAUGAAAGGGAAAGGACUAAUCUGCUAUUUUUGUACCCGUUCGCACCUACGGGAACAUCCCACUUUCCGCGUUCAAAAUUUGAAUCCCACUUUCCGCGUUCAAAAUUUGAACUUAAAUUUUUAUCCAUGCACCUAGUGCAUGGAUCAUCUCAUAAACCAUCUCUUCUUUUUUUUUUUAUUUCUUUCUCCCCCCCCUUUUUUUUUUCUUUUUCCUCUUUUAUUCCUCUCUCUUUUUUUAUGCUUCAACAGUGACCUAGUCGGUUAGCUUCGUGAGUUCCGUCGUUGAUGACCUUUGAGGUCGGUGUACCCUGAGGGGUAGGAUUGUCAGCUGGUGCUGACGGUAGUUCUGGACUAUAUCGAUACACUUUUGUGACCUAUCGGUCGGUUCUUGCGUUCGUACAUUUAGUUGACAUCGAGUAGUAUUUACAUAUUAUCUUUAUUUACUCUGCCUGGUUGUUCCAUGUGUAGUAUCCUGUGUAGGGGUAGAGUAGGUGACAUUCGUAUAUACUAUACUAGUGACCUGGUUGGUCGGUUCUCCUAUUUGCAUCUGUGACCUGUUUGGUCGUUCGUUACUUCCCGUACUUUGACCUAUCUCGAUCGGUUCACGUUAUUACUUGAUGACCUAUCUGGUCGGUAUGCCCAGAGGGGCAGUGAUUGUCGGCUGGUCGCCGACGGUUGGCUAUUGAGCAUAUCAGCAUCAAUCGCCACCACUCGUUAGCAUUUCAUGAACACUGGCGGUCUGAUCCACCGCAGCGAGUGUUCUUUUCCGGAAAAGUGGUCGUAUGUCUGACCCGUGAGCCCAAAGGCUAGAUUGGGUUAUAUGCAGGUUGAGUGGAUAUGGCACGAGCCUGAGGUUCCCGGACCAACAUGGCAGGGUUAGUGUAAGGACUGAGAUUUUUGCAGUAUACCUAAACUCUCAGUUGACGAUGUUUUUGUGUGUAAUUUAAUUACAAAAGCACUCGUCAAGUUUCGGGCGAAAACGAGUUAAAACGGAAAUUCUACGCGAUUUCCAAGUUUCACUUAAAGUGAAUAGUAACUCGAUUUUCCGGAGAAGCCGCGGUGAGAAGUUGGCUUCUGGCUCGUACCGGACUCUGUUCAUAGCAGUCCAAUAGCUCGUUUCGACCGGGUCAGCUGUUCUGGAACUAAUGGCGCUGACGGAUUUUGAGUUUGACGCACGGAUUUCGAGAAAAUCCAAAAAUACAUAUUUUAUAUGUAUUUAUGUGUGUGUUUCCUUCUAUUCGAAGAAGGUUGGAUUUUGUCGUGAAUCUGUGGUCGAUCAAGAUGAAACGAAAUCGCAGCUUUGUUGUCUCCGUCGUGCUGAUCGCACUGGUGCAAUCCGUUCGCAAAUCUGACGGACGGAUCUGCGGAGAUCGCGCGUUGAUCGAGGAGAGGUCGGUAGUGGCAAAACGGUAUUUUCGCGAAAGUCGCGACAUUUUAUGUAUCGUUUCGCGAGAGAUCUCACGUGGAGGGCUAUUCGUGUGUUUUACACGCACUGUGGAUGACUUAGUUUAAAAUAUUGAGUUUUCGUGGGUCCUUUCGUAAUUUGAGUUUUAUAUAUAUAGUUGUCUCUUUAUUCCGGGUCCGGAUUUUUGUUUAUCUCUCUCGUCUCUCUUCUCUCUUCUCUCUCUCUCUAUAUAUAUAUAAUAUAUUAUAUAUAUAUAUAUAUAUAUAUAAAUUUCGAGGGGGUUUAAGUACAUGCAAAAAUUGGAUUUACUAACUAUCCCUCGCUCCUGGCGGAGUAUCCAGACAACAACAUAUUAUUAUAAAAAACCUCAAAACUACUUGUGAGGUAUGCUCGAGCACUACAACUCUUCUGGAAGAGAUCUAGUCGCGCAACUCCCUUUCCAGAGAUGAUUAGUUAUCAGGACGACAGUGUCUAAUGCAGUUCAACCGCCAGAAGAAUGACUACCAUGCACACAACACAGAGAGACCUCCGCUCGCCACCGUAUCAUCAACUUAUGAACCUCGCCAUAGCAUUAGAAGAUGUAACAUACUUGGCACCUAAAAAGAAGUAGCUGGUACUCAGUAGCAACAAGGGAUACGCUUACCGACCUAACGGUCCUCAGCGAACCCACAUAAACAGAGAUCUACAGAAAGAACAUAUCAACAGAAAAAAUAACGCUAACAGCGAUACGUGAUAAUAAACCAUGCAUCCGAACCAUACAGCUUAUAAUGCAACACGUGAUUAUCUAUUUCGCUCGACGACAGAUAAAUCUUCGGCUUCUGAAAAAACGCACGAAUGGCGACUCACCGUAUCUCUUUAUCCUGACAGCGUUACACGGCACCUAUGGACAAUCCAGCCCCUUCUCCAAAGGCGGCUUCUACUCUUCAUUACAAUCCACUCCCCACACACUGGCGCCACGUAGCCUAGUCUCGCCAAAAAGCGACAUAAUUGAUAUUAAAGAACCCCCUACUAGAUUUAAUAAAUAUCUAUCAACUUUUCAAUGUAGCAUCGUUGAACAUAUGCGAACCUUUUUCAAGUGCAGCGUCUGUUCACGCGCAGAAAAAGCCGCGCAGAGCGACUUUCAAGUCGUGUCUUCGCGAGGACGUCCACUGACAGGUUACUCCGACCGCCUCUACCGCUGUUAGUCCCGUGCUCAUGACUCCGCUUCAGUCCUAGCGGCUCGCUGCGCUGGGAGCCCUACAGCGGCUCCUCUCGCAUCUGGUGGCCAGGCGUACCCCCGAUAGGGGAGCGCACGGAGCAACCGAGGUCAGCGUCGCGCAGUCAGGAGAUCGCGACCGAACAGAAAACUAACGGACACUUCUGAUCCAAGUGACGGUGCCAACAUGUGAUCAGCACUGGACCAUACCGAUCACCGUGCUCCUCCGGAGCGAUCAGAACAGCUCGGCAUCCCCGGAUAAAGCGUGCGCUAAGCCCACAACAGCAGCCAAAAAGCUGAACACGGCAGCGACAUCGCACAAAAGCGGAACGGCGGUGGCCUUCCGACAGAAAAUAAGAGUGAGCACCGAUGUAUCGCACUCGCCAGGAAUCAUCGUGCUCCUUCCGUACAGAUUCGGGGAGGCUCAGGAAACUCAGAAACAAGAAACCACUUCAAUUAAGCCUAUUUCGGGCUUGGCCCGGAGCAACCUUGCUCGGCCGGCUCCGGCGGCGCUGGUCGAGGGCCCUGAGGGUCGGUGAUGAGGGAGGGGAGGAACACGAUGUCACCUCAGUUAUGCGGCGAGAAGCGGCGGCGGUGACCAUCGGCGAGCAACUGAUGCCCGCCAAAAAAAUAGAGAAGUCUGGGCUCGGCGGGUUUCUCCGGCCACGCGAGCGCCGGGAAGGUCGGGGGACGGCGGAAGAGGGUUGCAGGAGAUCGGGGGAGGGUGGCACAGUGGCUCAGGCCCGGCGCGGCGCUAGCGAAGGGGCCGCCACACAGCUUCAGCUCGGGCUCGGGUUGGGCUCGCUUGCAGCGGCCUCGAAGGCCUGCGGCGGCGGCGCGCCUGCCGGGCGGCGUCACCGGCGGGAAGGGUGCCGGCUCCGUGUGACGCGGGUGAGAGUUUUCCAGGCCCCGGCGGCGGCGCGCUGGUGGCUGCGGGCAACCCGGCUCGGCCAGGCUCGGCCUGGGCUGCCGCAGGCAGGCUUGGAGCGGCUGCAGCGGCGCAGGCGACGCUGCGGGUCGCGCGGGAUGACGCCGAGAGCACGGGGCCGAUCACAGAGGGAGGUCGAAUUGUGGCGGCACGUCCCCGGGAUUCCUCAAACCCGAGGGGACGCAGACGGGAGAGAGAAAGAUGAGGGGAGAGAGAAGAAGUGUCCUAUGGCAUGCUGCGGGCGUGGUGGUGUCAGUCUGGCGAGGGCCGGGGUGGUGCAUCAAGGGCUAGGGGGAGGAGAGGGAGCUGUCCUGGGGGCUAGUUGCAAGGCUAGGGAUAGAGUUCUAGUACAAAAAACCUAAGCAGANNNNNNNNNNNNNNNNNNNNNNNNNNNNNNNNNNNNNNNNNNNNNNNNNNNNNNNNNNNNNNNNNNNNNNNNNNNNNNNNNNNNNNNNNNNNNNNNNNNNAAGAGAGAUGGUGAGUGGAACGUAAACCUAUACGGUGGCGGAAGUUGAAUCGAUUGGGUCGAGUUAGUAACCCUCUAAGACGGAUGUUAGAGGUGGAUUCAAGGUUCUGUUUAUUCUCACACGAGAGUGUUCAUGUUGGACAUACAACAUGAAACUAAGUGUGAGAACAAGCACCCUUGUGUUGACUUUCGCCUGAUUGAGUCAGUUGUUUUUGCUUUGCGGCGAAGCUAUACAGGUUAAGGUGAUUAACCCAAGUUCUUGUGUUUCAGGAGCUAAUGGCACCAAUGAGACACUACGUGCGUAGAUCCGUUCCGGCACAGCCUGCCGAGGUGCCAGAGCAAGCUGGAUCAAGUGAGGUGCAAGAACUGCGGGCGCAGAUGACUGCACUAGUUGGCGUGGUUCAGCACCAAGGGAGGUUGAUCGAGCAGCUCCAGGAGUGUUUGGAGCAGCUGGUAGCGGCGGCGGCCGCGACAGAGACUGAAGGUCGUGGUCUGCCCGCGCCCUCGAUUUGCGCGCUUGAUGCGGCUGAGGGUGAGGGCCUGGCAGUGGUUCCGAUGGCGGUACAUUCCCCGUCGGUUAGUGUUCCUCUGGCGGCUUCGGGUCCUACGAUACUUGAUGUGACAGCUGGGGAAGUGAGACAGGAACGCGAGGCGUUCAAGGAGAGUGGAGUAAAGAAGCGACCUGGCGGUAGUUCGGGGGGACAGUUUAGUUCCCAGAAGCCCCCGAAGUAUCGGGUGAGGUGGUCUGAUGGCUAUGGGCCUAAGCGAUGUGUGAUCUGCGGUGGAGAGCAUCGCGCGGGAAAUUGUGAGCAUAAGGCGGGACGGUGCUUCAGGUGUGGUCGGGCGGGGCAUAUAAGCCGUUACUGCCCAGAGGGAGCGUCACCUGCACCGUUUGUUACAUUCGCCCCAGUGCCUUCGAGGCAGUUGGCUGGAGUUCCGCCGGCUACCGUAUCGGUGGGACGUACGAUGGCGCCGCGUCAGCUCGAGGUGACCCGGUCGGCUCCAAGCGGUCGGGUGGUUGCCGCUCAAAAGGAGGGACUUGCUGGGGCCGAGGAGCGUGAUAUCGUGGCAGGUAUGAUUUAAUUAAAGCAAUCAUACGCUUCUGCGUGAUGUAGACUUGGAAAAUUGCAUGCAUCUUCUCGUGGUCAUUGGCUACUAAUUUUGUAUAGUAUAGUAAGGACCAAGUGGACGGAUUGGCGUAGAUACCCGGGCAUGCUUAUGUGGUAGUAGUGUAGCGCCUGCUGGAGCAGGUAGAGAGUUAGAUGGCACUAGCAAUUUGCUGGUGAUGGUUGUUGGGCGAGAAGUGAGACUCGUGGUAGACACGAAGUGGUAAAGCGACUCUCAAGGUAGUGAUUAUCGAAUUGCGAGAGUUGCGCAGUGGAAUUGCGAAUACCGAGUGGCUUGAGCAUCUCGGAUAUUAUUUCGGUAGAUCGAACAGUGAGAGUAGAAUCACUGUUGAGAGAGUAGCUCAGUAGUUGCCGAGUGCGGGCACGUAGGCCUAGUAGUACCUCGAGUUGAGGUGGGCGAGUCGUGCUCGUGUAGCCGAUGUGCAUAGGCAAGUUGCCUAAUGCUGGACUUCGUGUGAGACGCUGUAGAGGCUUAGGGCGCUCGAGUAUAGAUACUCGUAGAGUACGGUUUCGAUUCAGCCGGGUGAGUGAGCUAGCAGUAGCACUUUAGCUUUGCUAAGUGUGAAGCGGGCCUUGGAUCACUUGUAGGGCUGGUGGCUCGCACUAAGUGCCUAGGAGCCGAUAGAGUUUGUAGCUCUGUAGAGUAUGUCGUGUAGGACGACGACGGCGCGGGUAGUGCUUGGGGACGACUCGUGCCUAGACCAUUUGUGGACUGUGGAGCCUGGGCCCUUUGGGCAGGCGUAGUCAGCUGCGAGAGGCAGCGGCCCGGUACCUACGGGUAGGGCAAAGAUAUGGUCAGGAUGGUAGUCCGAGCUUAGACCCGAGAAUGUGUAAUUCCACGUGGUAGAUCAUGGGAUCGAGGAUGCGCUGAGAAUGCGAUUUUGACCUAACCUCAGGAUUUGAUGUGGUUUGGGGUCGUGGUUGCUCCUGGUUGGAGUGUGUGCGAAUUCCCAAGUGAGAAGUUCGCCCGGUUAUGAUUCGGUCUACGAUGCGAGCGAGAGACGCUAUGCGUAGUUGCGACAGGUUUAGGGGUAUGCCGACGUGGUAUUACGACCGUUGGUCCAUUUGUGGAAGCCGACGCAAUCGGUUUAGCUGGUAACUCCGUGGAGGAGUUGGGAGUAAGGGAGCGAAUUCUCGAAAUACGAGAAUUGAACUUCGCUCAAAAUUAACUAGUUGUCAAAUAGGAGUGCUUCGGGAAAGCCGAAGAAGUCAAAUGCAUCAGAAGUGCAUUGCAACGGAUCCGCGAGAGCAAGUUAUGCAAAAAUCUACACUUGGCAAAAAUUGCUCUCGGGGACCGGUCCCUGGCAGGGAGAGACCGGUCCCACCGACUGGUGGUUGCGGCGACGCGCGAGGCAACCUGUCACGCCCCGCGACCGCUACCAAUUUGGCUCGGCCCGGGCGCGUCGAACAGACGCCGAACGGACAGGACCUCCCCUGUCCGUCCAAGGCUAACCAACAGAUCGUGUAUAAGAAUUUACCCAGGAAUCAAUUCAUAAAUACACGAUCAAGAAGCACCACUAGUGCUAUGAACAAGAGCAAGAUACAAGUAUAGAAAUAUAUACAAGUACAUAAGAGAGAAGAGGCUAUCUAUUACAUUCAUUUGAUUUACUACAUCUAGAUACAUCUUUUACAUUCUUCCAAAAUAUAAAUACAAGCACUCAACCCUCACCCUAUACAACAUCUACUCUCAAAUACAAAAGGGGUGACGGCUAAUGCAAGAAGGGAGGUAGCUAAUGCGACUAGAACGCCGGGCCCUUACCGCGGUCCUCACGCUCACCGGGGACACCCGAACUGGAACCUGUGGUAAAAUGGGGGUGAGAACUAACUUCCUUAGUUCCCAGUGGGUUCGGCCGCCGACUCCGCCGAUCUCCCCACUAGGUCCAAGCGGGCACGAGUAGAUAUACCAAUAGAUAGAUAGAUAGAUAGAUAAAUAAGGAAGCUAUAAAUGACGGGAAUUAAGCUAUUCUACUAUGCCCAAUCAUAGAUAUAUGAAUGCAUGUUCGAUGAAUUGGUAAGCAGCUAACCUGUCAGCGUGUCCAAAGGUGAAGCUAUUCACUCGUUCAUUAACCUCAUUUACUUGUCCAUUAAUCUCAUGGCUUACCCGAAGGCUCGCCUACAGCUCACUAGCCAUCUCGACACGUAGGGAGAAUCAACUCACACUACGGACCCGAGACCGUCUGGCGGGGCCAUAUAGGCAAUCCCUGGCGUGACCAACAUCCGGAGCGCACUACUUGUGUGGGGCUUCCAUCACAAGAUUUAACAGACCGUGAGCAUGAUCCAAUCCUCUAAGCUCGAGGAUACCCUGUCCUCUAGAGUCACAAUCAUCAUAUAGUCCAUAGGUUUCAUAUACACUACGACUAGAUUACCAACCAUCCAUUUGUUCGCUAUCGACUAGAUGCCACUCGUUCAUCAUUUACUAUUGACUAGAUGCCACUCGUUCAUCAUUUACUAUUGACUAGAUGCCACUCGUUCAUAGUUCAUCAUUUCUCUACAUUAUAGGAUUCACAAUCUCGACCCAAUCCUUAUCAAUCCAAUAUAUCAAUUAUCCAAUGUACGCUACGAUAUCAUCAAGGAAAAACAUAAGGAAAGGCAAUGCAUACUAAUCCUAUAAUGCAAUAAUACAAGAUGCAAGAUCAAAUAUACUAAGACAUAGGAGGGAGCCCGAUUGCUUCGGGAUGGACACCACCCACCUCUUGGCGAUGCCGCGGUGGUAGAAAACUUGACGCUGCGGUUCUUGUACGCCGCCUAAACUCCUCGGGGCAAAGCGAGCCCUCGAGUACCCGAUUUGGCGAUAACUCCGCACCCGCUCGUCGGAUCGGCAAACCGUCUUCGCCGACGCGUUCAGAGACCUAGCAAUUAGGUUUACGACCCAUUAAAAUAGAUCAGAACCCUAAAUUUACCAAAAACCCAAUUUCAAACCCUAGGUCUCGACAACGGAGAAAUCCGUGGUGCGAGCUUCGAUUUCGAGCUCGAACCUUCCAUUUAUCCCUAAUAGGUUCCAUUUGAACCAAUUCUAAACCCUAAAAAACACAAAACCCUAAAAACACCAUUAAAGGGUUUAGAGCUUACCUCUCUUCAAGACUUCUUCAAGCUUGAGGGAGAGGGAGAGAAGAGGAUAUCUCCUUCUUCUUCUUCUUAGUCUUCUCCUUCUCUUUCUUCUCUUCUUCUCCUUCCUCUUCUUCUUCUUCUUCUCUUUCUUUUCUUUUCUUUCCUAGAGAGAGAGAUAAGGAGUAAGAGAGAGAGAGAGAAAGCAGCUGAGAGGGAGAGAGAGGGGUCCCCAAGCCCUAUUAAAGGCCAUUUUGCAUAUAGCCCCCUCAACUUUUCAUCCUUUGAAUCAGCCCUCUCUGGGCAUUUUCGCAGCGAGAGACCGGUCUCCCCGACUUCGGACCGGUCCCCGAAGGCUGCCAUUUCGAGCAGAGGGAUUCUCGCGUUCGGGAACCGGUCCUUGCCUGAGAGACCGGUCCCCGGGAGACCGGUCCUUGUCCGAGAGACCGGUUCCCGAGAGCUGCAUUCUCGGGACUUAGCCAAAUUUGGCUAAGUCUCGCCAGGCCAACGUUCGGGAACCGGUCCCUGCCCAUCAGGGACCGGUCUCAUCAGAGACCUUCGCAACCCAGCCUGAUGGAACCGGUCCCUCCCUGCCAGGGACCGGUCCCCGAGAGCAUUUCUGCUCCAGUGCAAGUUUUGCACUUGGUGCUCUCGCGGACACUUCCUUAAUGCACUUUAUGCAUUAUAAAAACCUUCGGACUUUCCGAAGCCUACGCACUCGACAACUAGUCGUUUCUAGUCGAAGUCUAAUCCUCGAGUUUCGAGAAUUCACUUCCUUACACAACCUGUCCCUGGACCAGGGAGACCGGUUCCCGAACGUGUGAAUUGGAGAAGGUCCUCUGGGACCGGUCCCUGGCAGGGAGAGACCGGUCCCCGAGUAUGAAAUUUGCCCAGGCAGGCUGGGUCAUGUUGGAGAAGUUGGAGAACUUGAGAAUAUUGCUCUCUUGAGGGUUAGCAUUGGAGAUGUGCCAAAGUGUGCCAUCUCGCAAUAGAGCAAGGGUGCCACCUCACAAUAGAGCGAAGAUCCGGAUGUGAUGGUAGCACUCGCGGUUGAUCGAUGCACCAAUAAUACUGCCUUUAGGCAAUGCCGGUGAUCGAACCGGAGUGGAUUUCCCGAUUGGGCGUGUAAUGCAAGGAGUAGUUCCUUGCAUGGUAGUAAUGCACUUUUGGAGUUGCGCAUGGCGAAUGUGAGUGAAUUUGGUCUCCCAUUCUCCGUAGUGAGCCUUUGGAAAGUUCCGAUAAGUGAAAGGCCACUCCGAGAUGCAAAAGUGCAUUGGAACCCUCGAUUACUCAAUAAGUUGAGUUGAGGUGUGUGUUAGAUUUGAAGUGAGUUAGUUUCGAGGAUGAAACUCUUUUAAGGAGGGGAGAAUGUAAGGCACCGGACUUCUAAAAUCAUGAAGUUACGUUGUACAUUUGGUUGGAGAGCCAUUGGAAAGGUUCCGGUAAAGUUCGGUGAAGUUCGGGCGAUUCGGUGCGCGUAGGCGCGGAAACGGAACCCGAAAGGCUAUGUUGGUCCAUGGAUUAAAUCCAGCAUUAGCAUGGAUGAAAAGAUGGUGAAAACAUGUUCGAAAACAUGUUGGGAGAGUCUCGGUUCGAUUUGAAACGAAUCGGAGGUCAAACGAGCGAAAACGGGUGAAAACGGAGCGAAAACGGUGAAAAAGCUGAAAAUUUGGCUAAGUCCUAAAUGCUGUUUUUCUGGACCUUCGGGGACCGGUCCCUCAAGUCCAGAGACCGGUCCCAGCACCCGAAAAUAGCCCAAUUUCGGCUGUGCACAACUAAUAUUGUUGAGGGGCCUUUGUGCAAUUGUGCAGAGUGUAUAGAGAGAGUUGGGGGCUCAUUUCCUCUCCCUCUCCCUCACGUUGCAACCAAGAGCUCUCCCUCUCUCUCUCUAAGUGCUCUUCUUCUCUCUCUAGAAGGUGAUGGAGGAGAGGAUUUUGGUGGAGAUCAAGAUCAAGAGAAGGGAUUUCUUCUUCUUCUUCUCCUUCCUUGGCUAGUAGCAAGCUUGGAGAGGUAAGCUUCAAAACCCUUUAAUGGCAUCUCUUUAUAGCUUGGGUUUUAAGCUCUAGGAAUGGGUUUAGAUGUAUUCCAGCAUGCUAAAUAGAGAUUUCAUGCUUGAAUCCAAAGCUCUAAUGGUGGAUUCUUGCCUAGUUAUAAACCUAGGGCUCAAAAUGGGAUUUUGAGAAAUAGUUGGGUUUGAUCUCAUUUAACCCUCUGUAAACCUAAUUGAUAGGUCCCCGAACGCGUACGUGCAGUCGGUUUGGCAAUCCGUCGAGCCGUUACAAAGAUAUCAAAGAAGAGGCCGAUUUUGGUACAGAUUGCCGCAGCUCGCGGCGAAAGCUUCCAAAAAUCAUGGAAAUGGAAUCGUAGCAUCGUGGUGUCGGGGAAUAAACUCCAGAAUAGACGGAUCGCGGAUUGGAGGUCGUUCGGUGGUCGCGCGCGCAUUGGGUCAAGCCGAGCGGCGUGCGCCGCGGGAGGCCGAUUGCGAGUGACGACGAGCAAUCGGAACGCGGUAAAAGGUGGGGGGUGUCAUCCCGAAGCAAUCGGGCUUCUCCCUAUGUCUAAGUCUCUCUAUGUUGAUCAAUUAUGCAUAUCGAGCUUUGCAUUAUAGGGUGCUAGAUGAUAAAUGUAUAUAUAUAUAUAUACAUACAUAUUGCAUGCUUCUUGAAAGAGUAAUGUAUUGGGCUUAGUGCUUAUAUCUAGCAUGCUUGAGGUUUAUAUAUAUGUGAUGUGAAACCCUAUAAUGAGAUGAUAGGUGUGGAGGAGAACUUAGUAAUGUAUUGGCUAUUGCAUUGGAAACUUUAAACUGUCAUUGAUCAAGUUGCAUAUUAUGAUGUUGCAUAUAGGGUGUUUAGAAACUUGUAUCUAUAUUUGCAUGCUAGUGUUAAUGUAGCUUGGUAGAUAUAACACUUGAAUCUAGUAUGCAUGAAGUUAGUAUGUGCACCUUAACCCUAUAUGAGAUGAUAUGUGACGGAUUGGAACCUAGGCAAAUGAUAACCUAGUGUUUGUGUUGUGUGAACGAAGAACCUAGUAAAGUGUGAACUAGAGUCUUGGAAACUUGUAAAGGACGAGUGGCAUCUAGUUAAUGUUAACCUAUGACGAGUGGCAUCUAGUUGAUAGCACAUAUGAGAACCUUAGUGUAGUUGAAACACUAGAAGGUUGAGUAUUAGACUGGCAUUGAGUUGAUGAGUUGUUAACCCUAGAUGAUAGGGUGUUCCCAGUUGAUGACACUAUCCUUAGUUGAUAGGAUGUUCCCAGUUCAUGAGAUUGGAUCGAGCUCACAUAGCCUGUCUGCACCUGUGGAGGUCGCUCCUCACAGGUAGUGCACUCCGGAGUUUGGCACGCGAGGGGGCCAGUGUAGUUGCCCUUGGACCAGUGUAGUGUCCGCAGGCGGUCUCGGGGUAGGUGAAUAGCUAGCCACCUCCCUAGGAGAUUUACAGACGUGAGACUGUGCGCGAACCUCGAGUUCGCCGAGAGAUUGGGUAACCUGAUGAGUUACAUUGUGUAUAAUAGCCUGGCACUUAGCCUUAGCCUUAUUGAUGAACCUAGUAGUAUGAUAAUUAGCCUCCAGUAUGAGUUGCAUCGACAUUGAGUAUAGUCGCUUGGUAGUCAGAGUAGUGGAUUUGCCUACAUACAGUGAGUGGACAUACUAUUCUUUCACCUAUGAGAUUUGAGCGAGGUAGCCUGUACCUAGUCGAGAUUGAGUCGGACCGUCGAGAUGUGUGUCGGGUGAGGAGCGGGGUAGCUCUUUGCCUAGGACCUUCGAGAUUGGGUCGGACCUACGAGAUAAGUCGGGCAAGGAGCGGGGUAGCUCUUUGUCUAGGACCUUUGAGUUAUGAGUUAGGCAGGAAAAGAGCGGGGUAGCUCUUCACCUCCUGGAUUUGAGAUCUUAGGCGAGUUAGCCUAGCGGAUUGGGUAAUAACAUGAAUAGCAUAAGAGGAUUGCAUUCAUACUAUGAAUAGACAUAGAGCAUUGCAUAACUAUGUUAUAGUUGUAUUCAUUUCACUGUUGAGGCAUAUUAGCAUGAUAGUAGAUUGUUGCUAGAUGAUGUUCCAUGCAUCUUUUACAUUGAUGGCAUAGUAGAUAUAGUAGCAGUUUAUUUCCAUAUAUCUUUCUGUCUAUCUAUCUGUGCCAGCUUAGACCUAGGCGGAGUCGGCGGCCGAACCCACUGGGAACUAUAGUUAUAUAGUUCUCACCCCGUGUGGUUUUGGGGUACAGGUACACACGAGAGCGGACCGGCAGAUGAUCGCGGCAAGGGCUUAGCGCCCUAGUGCUAGUUGGUAGAUGCUUUCCUAUUUUGCAUUAGAGUUACCCUAUACAUGUAUUGAGAGUAGAUGAUGUAUAGGAUGUGAGGUAUUUUGAGAUAAAUAUAAACUAAUGUUUAUACUUUGGAUGAAUGUAAAGCUAAGUUGUAAUUAAAUGUAUCAAGUUGAAUCGUUGUAAUAGAAUAGUUAAGUAUCUCUUUUUUGUUU